rnacentral:sRNA from 1 species
UUGACAGCCUCAAAGACUGAAGUGCUCUAUUAAAUGACAGUACAGGUACAUCACCCGCAGUGGCUGCACACAUUUUUUCCCACGCUGUCUCAAUAAUAAGCAUCAAAUGCAUUUGUUUGGAGACUGAGGGUUGUUAUUCUUUUGUCCUGCUCAUUUAACUCUCAGAA